CUGAAUCAUUGUUUUUUUCAAUUUAACAAAGAAAUGUUUUGAAAUACAAACAAGUACAAACAGUAAAAAUGUAUAUAAGAUUUUUUUUUCUAUAUAUAUAUAGUGUGGAAUUGAAUUGAUCAACAUGUAGAUCUCAAACAGAUUUUGCGUUUUGGGCUUCAGGACUAUUGAUACAUCAUGAAUUAGACCUCUCUUCUUCUACUUCCCGGCAGAUUCGUCAAGGUUUCAUAACGAAUUUCUUAUUAUUGUUAAUAAAAUUCAAAAUAAAAGUAUGGAACUGUGAACAACACAGUAACAAUACUAAUAAAUGGAUGAUCAGAAAUAGAAAUGUAACCAAAAUCAGCUCUAAAAGAAAAAUGCAACAAUCUGUUUUUAUUAUGUUCUACAGGUGAGCUAGACUUACGUGUUGCUGCUUGUUCUUCAGUUUUCAGGCAGAACCAUGACUUAAUACUGCUGCGGUUCUAUCAUGCGAAACAUUAACCUGAGAAAUGUACAUAAAAUAAACGUUUUGAUUACGACGACAUCUACAGUGCGAGUACGUCUGAUCCUUUGUAAUAGAUAAUUUAUUUUUAAACUGUUACAGUCGAACAACUGAAGUGUUUUUUUAGUGAAAGACAAGCAGCAACAUCUGACAAUGUUGUUAGUUUCGCUAAAAGCUAACUCUCUUGUUUCCUGUUGAGCUUUUCAAAAUACAACAUCUACUUUUUCGACUCAAUGGUUUCGAUCAAAUUAAGCAAAAAAUGUAUUGCCUAAUUUCCUUUUUCCAACGAUAAUUGAUAAGCCGGAAGCUAUUACAGUUUUCCUGAGUUUUUUUUAUGUGACUAGCUAAAAUUAAAAGAGUUUAAAACUGUGUGUUUUACCUCUUCGCUGCAAGAUAACAUAGAUGAAAGCACAGAUAAAUCACAAUAAAAUUAAAUGUGAUUUAAAAUAUGUUAAGGAAAAAAACAUCAGUUAAAUGUAGUCAAAUAAUUCAAAUAGAUUAAUUCCAUAGCCGUAUGAGUUCACAUUGAUUAAAAGAAAAUGAAAUCGAAUUGUCAUUUGACAGUUUAUUUUGAAGCGAAAAGAUUUAACCGGAACUUGUUAUUGACGUAGGCGAGUUGAGGGGUGACAGCCGGCAGGAGAGCCAAUCACAAUCAGCUUUUGGCAAGCACGUGAAGAAUUGAUUGGAGGCGACUGUCCUUACCUGGCAGAGAUAUGGAAAGUGAGUUGGACAUUGUAAGAUUGUGAAAAAAAAACUGUUGAACAUAAACAUUUUUAAAUGGUAUCAACUAUUUAUUCAAAUAAGGUAUUUGUCUAUAUCAGAAGAAGCCUUCAAGAAGUUGCUUUAGGCUAUUCUAUAUACUAAUUUGCAACUUGAGCAACUAUUUUCUAAAAUCUCUUUUAGUUCUUUGUCAUUGCCUUGAAAAAAGAGCAAGUAUAUUCUGCUUAUUAAUAAUAAUAAUAAAAAAUAAUAGUAAUAUUGCAUAUAUGUAGUUUAUCUGUAACUGUAUAAAGUCUCAUA
rnacentral:lncRNA from 1 species